rnacentral:rRNA from 1 species
UACAGAGGGUGCAAGCGUUGUUCGGAAUUACUGGGCGUAAAGCGCACGUAGGCGGAUAUUUAAGUCGGGGGUGAAAUCCCGGGGCUCAACCCCGGAACUGCCUUCGAUACUGGGUAUCUUGAGUUCGGAAGAGGUGAGUGGAAUUGCGAGUGUAGAGGUGAAAUUCGUAGAUAUUCACAGGAACACCAGUGGCGAAGGCGGCUCACUGGUCCGAUACUGACGCUGAGGUGCGAAAGCGUGGGGAGCAAACAGGGAUUAAGAAACCCCGGAUAGUACCC